AUUGCUUCUCAGCCUUUUGGCUAAGAUCAAGUAUAGUAUCUGUUCUUAUCAGUUUUAAAAAAAAGUGCGGAACACAUUCUUGCUGAGGAAGCCACUUUUGUGAUCAGGGAGUGAAACAGAAAGGCGAUGACGAGUGGCUGCUUUUAACAGGACAGCCGAGAUGUGAACCAGCUCCCAACCCUUU